AAUAUUAAAGGGACACUUUACUGCCCAAAAUACAAAAUAAUCACUGUUUAGUAGAGUUACCCUUAUUGAAGACAUGCAUGUAUUUAAUUAUGCAUUUAUUUUCUCUGCGUUUAUAUCUAAAAACAGCUUGCAAAUCCUCGUCUGCUGCCUUUACAAGUCCUCCCUGUAUAACCCUGCCCAGACUUUGUCUGUCCAAUCAGACUUCCUAAUGGAGCUCAAUGAGACCUCUUUGAAAGGUAAGUGCUCUGGCCAAUUGAUGCCUCUUGAGUUUAGC